CUGGGCUCCAGCAAGACAAGAUCAUCUCCGCUUUCCUAUGGGCUGAUGCAAAGUGAUGUCAAUGCCAUGGCUACACAGCCAUGCAACACCACCGUUCUCACAAGUGCAGGCACCAGAUCUGUGUAUGAGCUUAAAAGGACCUUGCAGCCCAUUCCAGUCACUAAGAUGACUACAGCCCUAAUGUGA
rnacentral:lncRNA from 1 species